rnacentral:rRNA from 1 species
UAUGCAGGCGGAUCAGUAAGUAAGAAGUGAAAGGUUGAAGCUCAACUUCAACACUGCUUCUUAUACUGCUGGUCUUGAGUGGCGGAGAGGAAAGCGGAACAAGUUGUGUAGCGGUGAAAUGCGUUGAUAUAACUUGGAACACCAAUGGCGAAAGCAGCUUUCUGGACGCAAACUGACGCUGAGAUACGAAAGCCAAGGUAGCNAACAGGAUUAGAUACCCUGGUAGUCUUGGCCAUAAACGAUGUUCACUAGGUGUCGGGGCUACGCCUCGGUGCCGCAGCUAACGCAUUAAGUGAACCGCCUGGGAACUACGGUCGCAAGACUAAAACUCAAAGGAAUUGGCGGGGGCCCGCACAAGCGGUGGAGCAUAUGGCUUAGUUCGAUGCAACGCGAAGAACCUUACCAGGGCUUGACAUGCUUCUGCACACUCCCCAAAAGGGGCUCCUUCGAGGGUGAAGCACAGGUGGUGCAUGGCUGUCGUCAGCUCGUGUUGUGAAAUGUUGGGUUAAGUCCCGCAACGAGCGCAACCCUCAUUGUCUGUUACCAGCGGGUCAUGCCGGGAACUCGGACGAAACUGCCUCUGUAAAGAGGAGGAAGGUGGNGAUGACGUCAAGUCAUCAUGCCCCUUACGCCCUGGGCUGCACAUAUGCUACAAUGGCCGGUACAAAGAGUUGCGUACUCGCGAGAGCAAGCUAAUCUCAAAAAACCAGUCUCAGUUCGGAUUGGAGUCUGCAACUCGACUCCAUGAAGCUGGAAUCGCUAGCAACC